GGAUCCAGACUUUGAUUCUGGCUCAGGAUGAACGCUAGCUACAGGCUUAACACAUGCAAGUCGAGGGGCAGCGGGAUUGAAGCUUGCUUCAAUUGCCGGCGACCGGCGCACGGGUGAGUAACGCGUAUCCAACCUUCCGUACACUCAGGGAUAGCCUUUCGAAAGAAAGAUUAAUACCUGAUGGUAUGAUGAGAUUGCAUGAUAGCAUCAUUAAAGAUUUAUCGGUGUACGAUGGGGGUGCGUUCCAUUAGGUAGUAGGCGGGGUAACGGCCCACCUAGCCAACGAUGGAUAGGGGUUCUGAGAGGAAGGUCCCCCACAUUGGAACUGAGACACGGUCCAAACUCCUACGGGAGGCAGCAGUGAGGAAUAUUGGUCAAUGGACGAGAGUCUGAACCAGCCAAGUAGCGUGAAGGAUGAAGGUCCUACGGAUUGUAAACUUCUUUUAUAAGGGAAUAAACCCUCCCACGUGUGGGAGCUUGUAUGUACCUUAUGAAUAAGCAUCGGCUAACUCCGUGCCAGCAGCCGCGGUAAUACGGAGGAUGCGAGCGUUAUCCGGAUUUAUUGGGUUUAAAGGGAGCGCAGACGGGUCGUUAAGUCAGCUGUGAAAGUUUGGGGCUCAACCUUAAAAUUGCAGUUGAUACUGGCGUCCUUGAGUGCGGUUGAGGUGUGCGGAAUUCGUGGUGUAGCGGUGAAAUGCUUAGAUAUCACGAAGAACUCCGAUUGCGAAGGCAGCACACUAAUCCGUAACUGACGUUCAUGCUCGAAAGUGUGGGUAUCAAACAGGAUUAGAUACCCUGGUAGUCCACACGGUAAACGAUGGAUACUCGCUGUUGGCGAUAUACUGUCAGCGGCUUAG
rnacentral:rRNA from 1 species